rnacentral:misc_RNA from 1 species
GGGGAGAGGAGAGAGAGAGACCCUGUGUACAGGUCCCCAUUUCCUAAACAAUAAAGAAAUUAUUGGGUGCAUAAAAAAUAAUGCACCAUCCACACAUAAACAUGUGAUAGACACCUGAAAAUGUGAAAAGAGAAUCCCACAUGAAUGAAAGAGAGAGGGUUCCUGUGCACCAGAUGCACUCAACAAUCUCUCAAACAAUGGAUGGUCUGCAUUUAUCCAUGAACAAUUAAUUCAUCAAGAUUUCUAAUAUAAUGCAGUUCGAUGCAUAUAAUGAGCUUUACAGGACUUCAUUACUGCUACAGUUUUCUUUUGCUGUUUUAAAACCCUAAGCUGCAGUCAGCUUCUCCAAUUGAUGAGGUAUCAAACAUGAGACCUUUCAAGACAUAGUCAAAUCACUACUGGUACACUAACUCCAACUCCCGAGUCCUGACAAAGCACCUUAAACAGGACUAAACUCUGUGAACACUCAUAUCUUGCCAUUCCUUUAAUAGCAAGAAAAAUAGCUGAAUAUUCAUAGUUCCAGUAUAAAUUGGAGAGUCAAAUUGUCAAAUAUUGCCAAGGGAUCAUCAAGUCAUUGUGCAAUUGCAGGUUGAUUUAAAGUCACCAGCCAUCUCAGACCUUCAGCAUUCAUGCAUAGAAUAGACAAAACUAAUUCUCAGAUUUACCAUCACAAACUGAGACCUUUGGGACCUUAUCAUUAUUACUGCUGUAUCCAAUCUCUUCUCCACUAAAUACCUUAAAACAGGACUAAGCCAUGUACAGAAAGAAGCCAAGCAAUCCAACAGAUAUUAGAAUAAUUUCUCAUUAAUAAUGAGAAUAAUCACCCCAUAAACAACAUUAAGAGUCAAAUGGUCAUAUCUACUAAUAGAUAACCACGUAAUAGUGCACAAGGCAUACUGAUUUCAAGUGAGCAUAGUUAUUAAAGGCAUGCCUGAGGCUCCAGGCUCACCAAGCUCCA